rnacentral:rRNA from 1 species
UACAGAGGUCUCAAGCGUUGUUCGGAUUCAUUGGGCGUAAAGGGUGCGUAGGCGGCGCGGUAAGUCGGGUGUGAAAUCUCGGAGCUUAACUCCGAAACUGCAUUCGAUACUGCCGUGCUUGAGGACUGGAGAGGAGACUGGAAUUUACGGUGUAGCGGUGAAAUGCGUAGAUAUCGAGAGGAACACCUGCGGCGAAGGCGGGUUGCUGGGCUGAUACUGACGCUGAGGCGCGAAGGCCAGGGGAGCGAACGGG